rnacentral:rRNA from 1 species
UGAUUACUAGGUGUUGGGGGUCAAACCUCAGCGCCCAAGCUAACGCGAUAAGUAAUCCGCCUGGGGAGUACGUACGCAAGUAUGAAACUCAAAGGAAUUGACGGGGACCCGCACAAGCGGUGGAGCAUGUGGUUUAAUUCGACGCAACGCGAGGAACCUUACCAGCGUUUGACAUCCUACAAAGAGUGCAGAGAUGUGCUUGUGCUUCUUCGGAAGAAUGUAGUGACAGGUGGUGCAUGGCUGUCGUCAG